AGAAGGAGAUGGAGUACCGGGUCGAGCUUUUCAACCGGCAAAUUUGGGGCUGAGGAAAGAAGACGAGGAGCAACUUCUCUCUGGUCUGGUCGUUGGAACUUCAGGACAAGGUGAAGGUUUUCAAAUGUUGAAGGAGGAGGACAAUAGGAACUUCUGUGAUG